UUUAUGGUCAAAAUUUGACACAAAUUACGAAGGGGACCAAUAAACCAGGAGGGAGGGAGUAGUGCGAGUAGCGCAAUAUACGGUAUAGAGGACUAGAAAAAUUUAAAAAUGGAGUAAGAAUUUACAAGGUUGUGCAACAGACUUUGUAGGCUACAUGAGUAAUACAAAAUAUAAUUCUCAUUGGACAACACUUUCACCAACAAAUACGCACUUUCACCGGGAUCAGAAUAGUUAUUCGGAUCCCGACGCGGGCCCGAUGGACUUGUUCCCGAACUCCCGAAACAAGCAGUGACAGAAAAAAUGCCCACCCUCCCUCGAUCCCCCACCUCCCGCACCUCCCGUCCAAAAAAACCACCCCACCCCACCCGCUGCCCCGAUCCCCACCUUGACCUCCCUUGAUCCCCUCCCCCGAGUGCCACCACCCUCGCUGGAUCUCGCCGCCCUGCGCGCCUCCUCCCGCAGGCCGACCUACCCAAGGCGCCGCCGCCCCCCGACCAACCAGCGCGGGGUCGCUGGGUGCCGCCCACGCCACCGGGAACCUGCUGCCGCACUUCCGCCAUGGCCGCACGCUCCUCCGCGGCCCAAUCGUCGCCGCCGCCGGGGAUCCUCGAGCACCAUCAUCCUGGCACGCAGUCCAUGGCUGCCUCCCCACGCAGUCCCCUUCUUGCUGCCGACGCGAAUCCUGUCAACCCCUUCCUCUUCUCCUUCUCUUCCUCCAGUGAUAUUUGCUGGAUCCUGCCGCCGUUAACACCAGGCAUCGGAACCCCGGCCCUGCACUCCAUCGCUACGCCCUGUCUUCUUCUCGCUGCGGCUGCUCCACAUCGCGUCCGCCUGUCGUCGCGACGCCCCCAACUCGCCUGCUUUCCCCAACGCCUGUUGGUUGACCUUCUCGCAAAGGCCACCUCGACCUUCUCGAGGAAGGUUACUUCCGAGGACCCGGCUCACAAGGUGCACACCAUCUCGUCCUAGCUGCUGCUGUGUGCAGAUCCGCCGACCUGAAGACGCAAGAGAGGGAGAUACAGAGCAUGAGUAGAACAUGGACUGCUCGCACACGCCGCCACAGACUGCUCCGCUGCCAUCCCCGUCGUGCUGUGUCCACGGGGCUCCUUGACCCAUCGACAGCGACAACUGCACACAGCCGCCUGCUCCUCAACUCCGACAGCCGUGCAGGCAGCUAUCCCUCCUGGAGGCCGACACCACGCUAGCUGCUUGCUUCCACUCACGUGCUUGUGAAUGGAUGGUGCCUGUAGAUAUUCAUUUGCUUCAGUGACUCGUAUGCUUCCGUGUCUACGCUCAUCCUGAGUAUUCUCUGUCUGUGGUUCAUGCAUACAUCAUAUAUUUGAUGCUAACAUGUGUCUAAUGCAGACCACUAAAAAAGACAAUUCACUUAGUUAUAAAAAAGUAGUGUUUGUUC